GAGUUUGAUCAUGGCUCAGAUUGAACGCUGGCGGCAGGCCUAACACAUGCAAGUCGAGCGGUAGAGAGAAGCUUGCUUCUCUUGAGAGCGGCGGACGGGUGAGUAAUGCCUAGGAAUCUGCCUGGUAGUGGGGGAUAACGCUCGGAAACGGACGCUAAUACCGCAUACGUCCUACGGGAGAAAGCAGGGGACCUUCGGGCCUUGCGCUAUCAGAUGAGCCUAGGUCGGAUUAGCUAGUUGGUGAGGUAAUGGCUCACCAAGGCGACGAUCCGUAACUGGUCUGAGAGGAUGAUCAGUCACACUGGAACUGAGACACGGUCCAGACUCCUACGGGAGGCAGCAGUGGGGAAUAUUGGACAAUGGGCGAAAGCCUGAUCCAGCCAUGCCGCGUGUGUGAAGAAGGUCUUCGAAUUGUAAAGCACUUUAAGUUGGGAGGAAGGGCAGUAAAUUAAUACUUUGCUGUUUGACGUUACCGACAGAAUAAGCACCGGCUAACUCUGUGCCAG
rnacentral:rRNA from 1 species